rnacentral:rRNA from 1 species
UACAGAGGUCUCAAGCGUUGUUCGGAUUCAUUGGGCGUAAAGGGCGCGUAGGCGGCGGGGUAAGUCGGGUGUGAAAUCUCAGGGCUCAACCCUGAAACUGCACUCGAUACUGCUCUGCUUGAGGACUGGAGAGGAGACUGGAAUUCACGGUGUAGCAGUGAAAUGCGUAGAUAUCGUGAGGAACACCAGAGGCGAAGGCGACUUCCUGGACAAUUGCUGACGCUCAGGCACGAAAGCGUGGGGAGCCAAAGGG